rnacentral:rRNA from 1 species
UACGUAGGGUGCAAGCGUUGUCCGGAAUUACUGGGCGUAAAGAGCUCGUAGGCGGUCUGUCACGUCGGCUGUGAAAACUCGGGGCUCAACCCCGAGCCUGCAGUCGAUACGGGCAGACUAGAGUCCGGCAGGGGAGACUGGAAUUCCUGGUGUAGCGGUGAAAUGCGCAGAUAUCAGGAGGAACACCGGUAGCGAAGGCGGGUCUCUGGGCCGGAACUGACGCUGAGGAGCGAAAGCGUGGGGAGCGAACAGG